UCUGAAUGUCAGGAAUCAUGGGCUGUGGCAGUCCUGUUCACAGACAUUGUAUAUGUGCCUUAAGGAAUGUGGUUGGCAAAUCUCCUCUAUUAUUUGUUCUGGCUGCACAUUGUUUAUACUUCUCUUCCUGUUUCUGGAAGCAGAAAUUACUGUCUCAGUGGUGAGAUAAAAUAUUUCUCUUACAAAAGAAGGCGCUGGUUGAAGAGAAGCACUUUCGUCAUUUUCGUUUUUACAGCAAAGGAGAAGAGAGAUUUCUGGGAUCUCCCACAUGAAUAUUUUAUGAACUACCUGAGAAAGAGCUUAAGGGAUGAAUGGCUGAAAAUAAGAGACAGCACGGUGUGGUGGACUAACUGCAUCCCAGCUCUGGGCCAGCUCAGACCUGCAUCCUUCCACCCACCCUUGGCAGACCAGAGUGAGGAGAGAACUGUUCGUUUUGGAUCUCAAAAUGUUGGAGAAGCAGAGCUCAUCGUACUUAAUGAACAACAGGAGAAAAAUCAAGCAGUAACACUUUCCUGCUCCCCACUUUAAGAGUCCUCAGAGCCACUCUUGGGAAAUUGCAGCAUUCAAGGAAUAAAACAGAACAGUCUCCACUUUUUAGACCA
rnacentral:lncRNA from 1 species